CCAGGUGAACAUGCUGGGAAGACAACACGAUCAAGAGGUGCUUUAAGUGCUGGGAAGGCGCCGUGAAAGGGAUGCAAUCGGCCUUGUCCAUGCUGCGGGCAGCAGAUGGCUCCUGCACACAAAGCACAGCCAGUGUGGGACUCAUCCGCAUCGAUGCCUGGAGCCACGCAGUGAUGAGACCGGACAGAGGGCCCACUUUCCUGCAUGAGGAACAGGCAGUGCACUUGCGUGCCCAGAUGCAACCAGUGCUAGCUGUGGAGGGAAGCCCAGCAGCUCGGCCUGGUGACCUGCACCAGCUCCCAGCAGUCUGAUGGGAGGGACAAGCUGCAGGAACACGUUCAGUCAAGCCCUUCAGCUCCUUCGCCAGCUUGUCCCUGGAGGCUGCCUUCAGCGAGGAAGUCACUGUGUGGUGGUCCUGUCCACCACAGCUACCUGAGUGCAGGGCUGCCCUGUGGGACCAAGCAGCUGAAGCUGCCAGCUAACCCCGAGCACCGUGUUAAGGCACAUGGUGCUUCAGCCCUUGGAUCCUCACAAGGCCUCGGAUGCAGAGGAGGACAGAAGCUAAGUCAGGCAAAGGACGGCAGGAAACCACGGCCUGGGACCGUGCCAGUGGUGGGAUCCAAAGGGCUGAACCCCGGUGAGAACUUCUUCCCCCCACCCUCCAUCACUGAAGACCAGACAAAGCGGUGCAAAUGGCAGUUCAAAAACAAGCGAAGGAGAUGGAAUAUAUUCUGAAAGCUUGGUUUUGAACCUGUCACAGUAAAGUUUGCCUCUAAAAACAGUUUUUAAAAACAUCUUUAAUAUUUUUGUCUUUUAGUUUAGUUUUGUAUGUAUUUGAAUGGCUGUUCAUUCAAGUUCUUUAUGGGAGCUGCACAAGCUUGCCCACAAAGGGAAAUUUCUUAUACCUAGGCGUUGAUUUCUAAACUGAGAUUUGGGUUCAGGGUAGAAGUACUAAGGCCUAAACUACAGCAGCUCUGGCUGCUCGGUACACACACGCUUUAAAUAUGGACAACAGUCCAAGGCUGGGCGUCCCAGGCACUCACUCGCAGCGAGGUAGAGGGAGGGUUGAAGUUCACAGUCGAGGCAGCUCUCUGCUCACCGCCGCCACGUGCAGGGAGGACAAUGCCACGGGGCCGCUGGUCGCGGCUGGGUCAGUGCCCAGCCGGCGGUGUACAAGAGGCAUUUGUGUCC
rnacentral:lncRNA from 1 species